rnacentral:rRNA from 1 species
GAUGAACGCUGGCGGCGUGCUUAACACAUGCAAGUCGAGCGAAGCGAUUUUAAGGAAGCUUUCGGGUGGAAUUAAAAUUGACUGAGCGGCGGACGGGUGAGUAACGCGUGGGUAACCUGCCUCAUACAGGGGGAUAACAGUUAGAAAUGACUGCUAAUACCGCAUAAGCGCACAGUGCUGCAUAGCACAGUGUGAAAAACUCCGGUGGUAUGAGAUGGACCCGCGUCUGAUUAGGUAGUUGGUAGGGUAACGGCCUACCAAGCAGAAGAGAAGUAGCCAACCUGAGGGGGUGAGCGGCGACAUUGGGACUGAGACACGGCCCAAACUCCUACGGGGGGCGGCAGUGGGGAAUAUUGGACAAUGGGGGAAACCCUGAACCAGCGACGCCGCGUGAGUGAAGAAGUAUUUCGGUAUGUAAAGCUCUAUCAGCAGGGAAGAAAAUGACGGUACCUGACUAAGAAGCCCCGGCUAACUACGUGCCAGCCGCCGCAGUAA